rnacentral:rRNA from 1 species
AGUGGCGGACGGGCGAGUAACACGUAAUCAAGCUACCUGCGAGACGGGGAUAACCUCGGGAAACCGAAGCUAAGACCCGAUGGCCUUCCUGAGCCGCAUGGUUCAGGGAGUAAAUGGGCGGGAUCCUUCGGGAUCGCCUGCUCGCAGAGGUGAUUGCGGCCCAUCAGCUAGUUGGUAGGGUAACGGCCUACCAAGGCUACGACGGGUAGCCGGCCUUAGAGGGUGGUCGGCCGCACUGGGACUGAGACACUGCCCAGACUCCUACGGGAGGCUGCAGUCGAGAAUCUUCCGCAAUGGGCGAAAGCCUGACGGAGCGACGCCGCGUGGAGGACGAAGGCCUUCGGGUUGUAAACUCCUGUCACGAGUUAAGAAGGGCAUGCAGCGAACAGCUGUAGGCUUUGACGUAAGCUCGAGAGGAAGCACUGGCUAACUCUGUGCCAGCAGCCGCGGUAAUACAGAGAGUGCAAACGUUGUUCGGAAUUACUGGGCUUAAAGCGCACGUAGGCGGCAUCGUAAGUGUCGGGUGAAAUCCCACGGCUCACCCGUGGAACUGCCCGGCAGACUGCGAUGCUCGAGUGUGGUAGGGGAGAGCGGAACUCCUGGUGGAGCGGUGAAAUGCGUAGAUAUCAGGAGGAACACCGGUGGCGAAGGCGGCUCUCUGGUCCACAACUGACGCUGAGGUGCGAAAGCUAGGGGAGCAAACGGGAUUAGAUACUCCCGGUAGUCCUAGCUGUAAACGAUGGGCACUAGC